rnacentral:misc_RNA from 1 species
AAGUCGUAACAAGGUUUCCGUAGGUGAACCUGCGGAAGGAUCAUUAACACGUAUCCAACGUUAAACAACCCUUAGGAACAGCAAUCCCGGUAAAUCAAUGGCGGAAAGUUUUGAUUCGGGACCUCUGUCCAAAAGGUAUCAAGUUACAAUCGAGCAGAGCAGUGGCAUGGUUUCCCUAAGCAGUGCAGAAGAAUCCACUGAGUAAGGAUAACGCAUCACGGUUGCCAGCGGUCGAUCACCGGCCGGCAGACAUGUCACAGGGCGCGCGCGCCCCCUCAUUCACCCCUUGCCCUCUCAAGCCUCGCGGAAACGCCAGGCAUAAAAACCGAACAACUGUUAACAAUGGAUAUCUUGGUUCUC